UCAUUAGUUUUUUAAUAGGAGGCUUGUAUGAAGGGUUGGACAAAGAAAAGUCUGUCUUUAUUUUUAUUUUUGAAGUUAACUUUUAAGUGAAAAGGCUUAAAUGAAUUUAAGGGACGAUAAGACCCUAUAAAUCUUUAUAUUAACUUUUUUUUUGCUUAAUAAUAAAGUUUAGUGAGUUUGAAGAGAGGUAUAUUUUGUUGGGGUGACGAGAAUAUAAAUAUAACUGUUCUAAAAUAAAAACAAAGUUAUUUGUCAAAAUUUGUUGAUCCUUUAUAAAGAUUUAAAGUUUAAGUUACUUUAGGGAUAACAGCGUUAUUUUUUUUGAGAGUUCUUAUCGAAAAAAAAGUUUGCGACCUCGAUGUUGAAUUAAGGUUUCUUUAUGGUGCAGUCACUAUAAAAGGAAAGUCUGUUCGACUUUUGAAUUUUU
rnacentral:rRNA from 1 species